CGGGAGAUUGCCGCUUCCCCUGCAUUUGGUUCAUAUACUAUAGAUUAAGCGAACGGAGACUGUUGCUGCAGACGAGGAAGGUCUACUAAACGGCGGUUUUGCCUAAAGACACAGGAGGUGUCUUAACACAGUUCAAUUGCCAUGGAGCCAAAGUCUUUCUCAUUAGUCUUUCAUUAUACGAAUGGACUCCAUGGCAUAGCUAUCUGGGGUAUGAGCGCUCAAACAGGGCAAGCACCAAAUGACCCGGCUUUCGUGUCUUUGCAGGGGAAAAAUCAAGCGUUUCAACAUGGGGCCAUAGUCUAAAGGCAGCAGGCGGGCAACCAGGCUCCUCCAAUGCACAGUGGUGAGAUUGGUCUCGUCACAGUGACUCUUGAGUGGGUUUCUGACUCAAUAAUCUCUCAGGCACAGGGAAGGAGUUUACUGUGUGUAUAAAUGGUGAGUGCUUGCCUUCAUUAAACAGAUCUACUCCCAGCAUUAGGUCUCAGCUAAUGUGUGGAGGAAAUCUUUGUAGGAGAGCUUUGACCACU